UCCCGUGGGUCCCGUGUAAGCAUCACCGCGUGGUUACGAUGCGUCUUUCUACGUCGUGGACGCGCGCCGUGGAUCCAAACACACACGCACGCACGCACGGGAUACACUAGCAGCUCCCUCCUUCCAUCCUCGUGAUUCCUCGUCAUUCCCGAACAAGUGUGAGAUCCACGCGGAUCAGAACAUUCUACUGUGUGUGUUUUGGACUCGCGUGGAGGAGUGCGUGUCUCCACCAGCACCAGCACGUACGAAGCAUGUUUUCAUCCCCGCUCUUGUCUCACACGAGACAGGACUGAGGAGACGCUUUGAACUUUUUGUGUGUGGUUUAUUUCGGUUUAAUCUCCGUUCAAGCAGGGAUGUCAUCUUCACGCGUGGAUUACAUCGCGCCGUGGUGGAUUUACUGGCUUCACAGUUUCCCACACGUCAACCUGAGGCUGCAGCCCGUGGACAACAGCUUCAGACCCGACGACGAGAACUACCAGCAGUCUCUGCUUUUUCUGGGCUGCGUGGCGGCGACGGUGCUGGGCGUCAACCUGCUGUGUCUGGCCGUCUACCUGAGCUGCCUGUGCUGCCGCUGCAAGGAUGACGACGGCGGCGGCGAGGAGGACAGCAAGAAGCCGACAUCCUGCUGCGUCACCUGGUCGGCCGUCGUCGCAGGCCUCGUCACUUGCGUGGCCGUAGGCGUGGGUUUCUACGGCAACAGCGAGACCAACGACGGCGUGUACCAGCUGACGUACUCGCUGUACAACGCCAACAACACGCUGGGCGGCGUGGACAGCCUGCUGCAGGUGAGCACCACUAUGGGCAACAUGAAGAGUGGCCUGCACCAGCACCUGGCCCGGCUGGACGAGAUCUUCGCCACGCGCGGCGACUACGUGCAGACGCUGCAGUUCAUGCAGCAGAUGGUCGACAACGUCAUCAAGCAGCUGGUGGGCCUGCCGGACUGGGCCCAGGCCGACAUGGACCUGGCGUCCGUGGCCAAGAUGGCGGCCAGCGUGGAGUACUACAGGUGGCUGGCCUACCUGCUGCUCCUCAUCCUUGACCUCAUCAUCUGCCUGCUGGCUUGUCUGGGACUCGCCAAGCAGUCUCGCUGGCUGCUCACCACGAUGAUGCUGUGUGGGGUGCUGACGUUGAUACUCAGCUGGGCAUCGCUAGGAGCUGAACUGGCCGCCGCUGUGGGCACCAGCGACUUCUGCGUGGCGCCUGACAAGUUCAUCAUGAGUCAAAUCAAAGGUGUCAUCGGCACAGAUAUCGUUCAAUACUACGUUUACUGCAACCAAACGCUGACCAACCCUUACCAGCAGCCUCUGACGCUUUUCCAGAGAUCUCUGACCACCAUGCAGAUACAGAUCCAGGGUUUGCUGCAGUUCGCCGUGCCGCUAUUCCCUACAGCGGAGAGAGACCUGGUGGGCAUCCAGCGUGUUCUCAACUCGUCUGAGGCCAGUCUGCACCAGUUGACAGCACUGUUAGACUGCAGGGGGCUCAACAAGGACUACCUGGAUGCUAUGGUGGGCGUGUGUUACGACGGCGUGGAGGGCGUGCUCUACCUGUGCCUCUUCUCCGUUCUGGCGGCUUGUGCCUUCACUAUCAUGCUCUGCGCCAUCCCCAGAGCGUGGAGACAGAUAGCCAGCAGCGAGCAGGACUACGACGACAUAGACGAGGAGGAUCCCUUCAACCCUCGGCGCAACCGAAUGGGGUCGCAGAACCAGAACCACACCACUGUGCACAGCUUCUGCAGCUACAGCAGCAGCAUGGGCAGCCAGAACAGCCUGCAGCCCCCCGCACCUCCACUCGCCAACGCCCCCAUGGGCGACUACAUGAACCAGGCGGCUCUGUUCGGAGGGAAUCCUCGCUACGAGAACGUCCCUCUGAUUGGACGAGGCUCGCCGCCACCGUCGUGUAUGCUGACAUAUGGAGCAGAUGGGAAGUAACGCGGUUAAUAUUUCAUGGCGACGUGAACAUCGUUUAGCGACAAACUCCCCCGGGAGAUGACGACGAUGUGGGCAACGCACGUUUCGUUUCUUUAUUUAUUUAUAUUUCUUUUGGGACCUUCAAAGGACCCUGCUCGUUUGGACAGAAAUAGCAAUGCUGGUUCCAUUUUCAUAUCCAUCAUGUUUGUUUAAAGGAGAAAAAAGUAAAUUUUCCAUUUUCUUUCCUCUUUAAAUAAUGUGCUCUCUUGAUGCCGUUUUGCUUUGCUGCUUCUGUCAAUAAAGUUGAAUUAAUUUCUCUCCCCUGCUUCAAACUGUGCAGCUGUGUGUUUGUUGCUUUUUGGCUAACAGCUUUUUAAUUAAUUUUAUUUUAUUGCUCGUUUGUCCGUCAUGUCUCUUCUUCUUUUAUUUCAAUCAACUUUUGAAGAUAUACUCUCAGCCGUAUAGAAGCCGAUACUCCCCCAGCAUGAGGGCCACCUACCUGUCCAUGACCGAGGAGCAGCGUCAACAUUUCGGCAACGACUUCCAAGUGUAAUCUUUUGGAAAUUUUCUUCAGGGAAACACCACCAUUGUUGUGUGUUACGGACAUGAAAGUGAGCUGGGGACACGUUUGGCUUAUGAGACGUUACCCCUGGAGUUUGAAACGUGAGAAAAGACUUUCUUAAAAGUUCUAAAGAAACAAGUGUGCACAUUUCUGUCCUUGGUGACACUUUUACAGAAGCCAAGAGAGCUAAAAAAAUAUUUAAGAACAAGCAAGGAGAACAAAAAAGUACAUUUUUGACAAGAUUUUUCUGUGUUUUAUGCUCCACUGCUGUUAUUAUAGAGCAGGGGUGUCAAACUCAUUUUUGUCGCGGGCCACAUUGUAGUUAUGGCUUCCCUCGGAGGGCCGUUAUGACUGUGAACCCAUGUAAAAUAGUCUCAUUUAAUGACAUACACAACAAAUUGAUGGAUAACUAGUUUUAAAAUCAGAAGCCAAUAAAAAUGUUCAACUAUUAUUACAUUUAUUUAGAAAAGGGGAUUAGAAACAUAAAAUGCUUGCAAUAUCUCAACAUUAUACAAGUAAAGACACCAAUUUUGGUAUUUUCAGAAGAAACAUGAAGUCGACACAUGAUUUGCUUUCGCGAGCCACAUAAAAUGAUGUUGCAGGCCGGAUCUGGCCCCCAGGCCGCCAGUUUGACACCUGUGUUAUAGAGUAUGCGUGGAAAAUGAUGGCACUGUGGUAAAAUGUUUUUUUCCAUUUUUGGCUCACUUUUCUGUGCGCAAAUCUCCAGGUAUGACGUUGAAACACCUGUAAAUAAUUUGUACAACAACUUAUUUUUUGUAAUUAUUGUUUGUGCCAUUUUAAAAUAUAUUUUUUGGGUUUGUUUUUCUACUCACUGAAGAACCAUUAAUGUACAUUUUUCUGUGCAUAUCAACUAAUUGAAAACUGCCCUUAAGCCUGACACCAGAAGCUGUUGUGCUGCUGCUUUUAACCACCACAUUCAGGUAAACAGCUUCCUUUGAGCGUUGGCUAAUAAUAAUUAAUAUCAAAAGUAAUAAUGAUAAUAAUUCAUGCAGUUUUUAACCUUUGUUUCAGCAUGUCACACUGUGUACAGGCGCUGAGAGUGAUGCCUAAUUCUUUGUGGGGCCAAAAAGAUUUUGUGACCCUGUGUGUGUUGAAUAAAUACGUUUUUAGUAUGGCUGUA